AUUGAACGCUGGCGGCAGGCCUAACACAUGCAAGUCGAACGGUAGCACAGAGAGCUUGCUCUCGGGUGACGAGUGGCGGACGGGUGAGUAACGUCUGGGAAACUGCCCGAUGGAGGGGGAUAACUACUGGAAACGGUAGCUAAUACCGCAUAACGUCGCAAGACCAAAGUGGGGGACCUUCGGGCCUCACACCAUCGGAUGUGCCCAGAUGGGAUUAGCUAGGAGGUGGGGUAAUGGCUCACCUAGGCGACGAUCCCUAGCUGGUCUGAGAGGAUGACCAGCCACACUGGAACUGAGACACGGUCCAGACUCCUACGGGAGGCAGCAGUGGGGAAUAUUGCACAAUGGGCGCAAGCCUGAUGCAGCCAUGCCGCGUGUAUGAAGAAGGCCUUCGGGUUGUAAAGUACUUUCAGCGGGGAGGAAGGCGGUGAAGUUAAUAGCUUCACCGAUUGACGUUACCCGCAGAAGAAGCACCGGCUAACUCCGUGCCAGCCGCCGCGGUAA
rnacentral:rRNA from 1 species